AUCCCUAAGCAGUUGGUUAUCUUCCUAACUCCGUAGACUUGCACUCUGGGCACUUCACAUGUACAGUGUGUGCUAGUGAUCUUUCUGUCUUGGGAUAACUGACCAAGGAAAGUUUUAUUUUGGGUCACAGCUUUAGAUGUUCCAGCCCAUGAUCAGUGGAGUGGGCUCCAUUGCCUUGGCUGAGGUAGCACAUUAUGGUAGAAAUGAUUUUGCUCAUCACAUCAUGGAUGGGAAGAGGAAGUCCAUAGUGUCAUUUCCACAGUGACUGAAGACCUUCCAGUAGGUCCAACCUCAUAAAUGCAUCACCACCUCCCAGAAGAACUAUUGUUAAUGUUAUCUGGUUGGGCAGCAACCAAAGCCAAACCAAGUUGGCAACCGAUGUCCUGAGAAUGUAUGCUGGCUUAAAAUGAAAAAUUAAAUGUGGUGAUCCAAAGAGGUUAUCGAACUCCAGGGAAGAGAGGGAGUGGUUGGAAAGGGGAGGGAAGAGCCUGAUGGGAAAUCUCCAGGCUCUGCCUGUACAAUCUGAUAUUUAACUCUGCAAUGGUCUCUUGGGAACUCCCCUUUCCCUGAGACAGGAUCUUACGAUGGAACUCCUGUUGUGGGCCAGGCUGGCUUCAAACUCACAGAAAUCUGCCUGCUGAAUGCUCAGAUUAAAGGUGUGUGUCAUGACAUACAGCCCUACUGGGAACCUUUGAAAGGAGAGAACUGUUGCCUCAGACCCGACUGAAAUGCAGAUGAAAUCCCCCUGGGCCUGAGAAGAGGAAGGGAAGCACACAGAGGAGGCACUGCAAACCCAUGGAGCAGGAAGCAUCUGAAGAGGAAAACCCUCUGAAGCACAGCUUUACCCAAAGAAGUGUUAAUAAUCGGAAAGAUAGAACCUAGCAAGUGGAGCUUUCAGAUAAUUGGCAGUUACAUUUGUCCCCCAGGUGUUAUCUCGGAUCCACGAAUAGAAAACACACACACACCAAUUAUUCUUAAAACAUCUUUGCUAACUCAAUGGCUGGCCACUCUUAAUUCUUCCCCUGCUAUCCCAGGCCCCGUUGGGGAUGUGGCCAGAGGCAGGCCCAUCUAGAUGCCUUACUGGUGUGGAGAACUCUGUGCUACCUGAGUUGUGAUCACUACCCUCACGUGGGGUUUGUGGUCACAUAUACCGGGACAGGAAUCGGGUCGGGAGUAAAUGAAACUCCUACCGUUCUCAAAUUCUCAGAUUGGGUUUCUGAAUCCGCUCAACCUCAGUUUUUGUCUGGUGACACACAGUACCAAUUGCUGGAAGUGUGUAGUCCCAAACAGGGUAACAUUGAUAACAUCCAAGUGAUGGUAGAAGGGCAGCUCUUUUCUCAAAGACAACAUCAGGUAGUUUAUCAUGAACCAGCAUAAGUAAACAGGGCCUGGAAUGCCCACAAUAAGAAAAAUGUUUGCCUAACUAAUGAAGUUAGUGCCUACUUGUAUACAUGUGCAUGUAUUAUGAAAUUUCCAAUAACUAGCUUCUUCCGGAAAAUUGUAGAGCAUUGUGAAGUAAAUGCCUUUUAGCAGAUAAA
rnacentral:lncRNA from 1 species